ensembl:lncRNA
GAAGGGGUUACAAAGCACACACACACACACACACACACACACACACACACACACACACACACACUGCGUUCCCUGCGUGCUCUGCCUUUUACUCUCUUCAAGCCUCCCAUGCUACAAGCGAACUAAAACCCACAGCUGUAAUCAAGAUUGGAAACACGGUGUGUGUGUGUGUGUGUGUGUGUGUGUGUGUGUGUGUGUGUGUGUGUGUGCGUGUGGGCGAAGGUGAUUGUGCAACAUAGAAUGUGACAAAACCAAGGCUGCUGCAUUAUAUCACAAUUCUAAGAAUUCAUACGAUGAACCUGGUGUGUACGAUUCUGAUUGGUUGAUGUACCCUUAAGGGGGCGGGGUUUACCCUUCAUCUGUUUUAGAACACAUUUUGUAUGGCAUCGACUCGGUUGGCUUUAGACGAGAAAAGCGUUUGUGCAAAGACUCUGAGCUGAACGCACACACACAAAUCCUUAAGGCUCUGUCGAAAAAAACAAACAAAGAAACAAACAAACAAACAAACGAACAAACAAAACGCAAUCUGAAAAUCAGAAGAAACAAUAUGGAUUAAAUAAAGUUCCAGUCAGAUGUUUCGUAUGUCAGUGCAAUGAUAAGAUUGUAGUUUUAUGAACAAUUCUCAACGCCUUGUGUUCUCGUGCUACAUUUCUCCAAGAAUCACUAGUUACGCAAAAGAUUUGUGCACUGUUUUAACAUUUUCUGAAGAGGCGGGGCUACGUGUAAUCACUAAUCACAGGCAGAUGAGAGGGGGUGGGGCUUAAAAGUUGCAAACAUUAGCGACAAAAUAUGAAUUAAACGAGCGCGUAACGUCUCUAUGAACACGUAACGCAAAUCUGAGCUGAACGCUACACGUUUGACUACAGUUUCCAUCAGAGCACUGACACACGAUGAAGUCUGACGGGAAACUGACGUAUGGAAUAAAACCACGGGAAUAACCCGAGGUGCUCGGACUUGUGGUGUUCAACUACUUCUGAUGUUCAAGUGCAGUUUGUUAUUUUAAACAAAAGUUCAUUCAGUAAUCAUUGAAUCAUUCUAGCUCAACAACUGCCAUUCACAAUAUUGCUGUGUGGUGGAUCUGGCUAGUUUCUUUGUUACAGGCUUUUGCUAACGUUUUUCUGGUCCUGAAAUUAGCUCCGCCCCACAAUUGGAACAGAAUUGCUUCCCUCUUCUUUUUUUUUCACUCCCUAACAGGCAGCUCAAUAUGCAUAUGUGGCUUCAACAAAAGGACAUUACAUCGUCGCACUGCAAUUCAAUAUCACUCUCUCAGGCUGAAGAGGGCGCUAAAACUCACAAACUGCAUCUUUAAGACGAUAAAGAUUAUAAGUCCAUUUGCGUUUACGCUUUAAUACUAGACGUAGUGCGCGUUAUUGUGGUUAGCACGGAAUACCGGAUGAAACUGUCUAACAAAUCCUCCCUGCUUCAUUAUAUAGGCUCCGCCCCCUAUGUGCCUCAGAUUGUAUGUUCCCACCAUUGUUUCAACACAAACCCACCUUCACACACACCUUCACACACAAUAAGAAGGCCAGUGCUUUUUUUUCUUCUUUCUUUCCGUUAGCCUGAGAUCUAAAUGUACAGUUGCGAUCAAAAUUAUUCACCCCCCCUUUGCACAUCCAAGAAUAUUACUGAACUGGAGGAUUUGCUCAUGAGGAACGGGAGAAGAUUCCUCAGGAACGCUGCAGAAACUCCGCACCUCGUUUGCAGCAGGUCAUAACAGCAAAAUGAGCUCUACUAAGUACUAAAGGUGCUCGCCAUGAAGGGGGUGAAUAAUUUUGAGACUGGAGAAGUCAUUAUAAGUCGCAUUUUCAGUAGAAUUUGGGGAAACCACUUGAAGCGUUCGUUGUGUUAAACUAUUUCAGUUGUUUGAUUUGUUCGUCGCAAACAGUUGAAAGUCUGUACAUUUUGACAAUAAACCUGAUUUGCACUGGGGUGGGGGGGGGGGGGGGGGGUGAAUACUUUUGAUUGCAGCUGUAUAUCUUUCCUGUGUACAGUGUGAAUAAAGGACAAAAAAAAUCACACAGUUUGUGUGAUUUCAGUGACAGACGGAAACCAUUCCCAGGGCGUGUCCUGAGUGCGUGUGAGUGUAUGUGUUUCUGGCAGUGUUUUGAUUGCAGUACCGUGUGCCAGCCGAGACACAAAAGAUCGCCCGCCUGCGCCGCGUCCACGCUUCCAUCAGAAGGCCAGAACGUAAACCCGAACGUCCCCCUUUUUUUUUCUGCUUUCGUUUUGUUUGUUUGUUUUCUUUUUUUCUUUUCUUUUUUUUUUCCAAAAAACCCUACUAUGUACAAAUCUAUAUUUUCUACAAAUACAUAAAUUAAAACAGACAUAAAGCGGUACAAAAUGAAACGAAACCUAAUCGCACAACCGAGAAAAGAGGAAAAUAUAUAAACACAUAUAAACACGGCGUCACAGCGGUUGGUUGUUUUUUUUUUACCCUGUAAAAAAGAAUAGUCUACAUUAUCGUUAUCGUUAUCGUAACAGCAAUCGUAUCGCACGUAGCAUGACACAACUUCUAAUCAAAAAAUACCUUUCUCUUUUCCUUCCUGCAAGUUUUGAAACCUGCCAUCAGUGAGCAAAAGAACACAGCACUUUUUAAGCCAAACGUCAAAAAUAAAUAAAGUUUUUUUUUUUGUUUUUUUUACGAAUCGACAUGAACAAGUUCGCAAAAUAAUCGAGUUUCUGCCUCAAACACAUAGACUCUCUAUACAACACAACUGUACGUUUUUAUUAGCAUGAGGUAUUCUGAGACAUUUGGUAAAAACACUUACACGGCCCGCUACGGUGGACACGCCUACCAGCAAAAAGGGGCGGGGCUAGUGGUCGAUUAGUGUUGGGGAAGGGCUUGAUAGGGGAAAGAGGAGGAGCUUUGGUUUAUCAGCAAAAGAGAUGGAGGAAGAGAAAGGUAUGUUUUUGUUGCAUGGCUGCACUGGUGAAAAGCACCACAGUGAGAGAGAGAGGGAGAGAGAG